GGCCGGCCGGGCAGCUAGGCGCUGAGACGCAGGCCUUUCCUGGCGCGAAGCGACUCGCCCCGGAGCUCCCCUGCACCGUCCUGGGUGUCAGGACGCGUCAACCCAGAUGACCCGACCCGGAGAUCCUGGAUCCUCUGCCCUCUUCCCCCUACCAAGUCCUUAACCGGAGAGGGAGGAGCUACCAAUGUCCUCCAGACGUUCUCCAAAGCCCGAGCUGCCGGGAGAAGCUUGCUCAAGGCGGGUGCGCCCCUCAGACGUUUGUUUGCACGCAGGGGUUUUGACGUUUCGCUAAGCAACAGCGUUUGCCAGGGAAUCAGGGCUGUUUCGAAGAGCUUGCGUCUAUUUGAUGCUCCCAUCUUGAACAAAUCGUUUCCAUUCGAUUUGUUUAACCAAGGCGAGGGCGGACUAUGUUGUUACUUAAAAGUUAUUCUUCAUCCAAGCUGUCCUCAGAUUUUCAUCUAAGGGUGUCAUAACACCCCAGGUCGUUGCGCAAAUGUUUUGUGACAAUUUAGAAAACCAGAGGGGGGAAAUAUCCUUAGAGAAAAAAUCAUAACCAACAAGAAAAUUAUGUUAAAUGAUGUUGGUCCUUUUUCAUCGGAUGGUCCCAGUUGACACAUAGUCUUUUACAAAACCAGUGACUAUUCACAGUCUUCAAUUUAUGGCACAUCUCCCGGUGGGGGCGAAGUGCAUGAAUGGGUCCCACCUUAUUCACCAGCUGAAACUCUGAACAAGCCUUGGGGUUUCCUCUCCCAAAGACUGCCAGGCUUCACUAAGAAUCAAAACAAAACAGGAUACUAAAUGCCUGCGGUUCCUUUUUCCAUAAUUUUUUUCUUUUAACCAGCCUUUCACCUCACCCAAAG
rnacentral:lncRNA from 1 species